rnacentral:rRNA from 1 species
AUUGAACGCUGGCGGCAUGCCUUACACAUGCAAGUCGAACGGUAACAGGUCUUCGGACGCUGACGAGUGGCGAACGGGUGAGUAGUACAUCGGAACGUGCCCAGUCGUGGGGGAUAACUACUCGAAAGAGUAGCUGAUACCGCAUACGAUCUGAGGAUGAAAGCGGGGGACCUUCGGGCCUCGCGCGAUUGGAGCGGCCGAUGGCAGAUUAGGUAGUUGGUGGGAUAAAAGCUUACCAAGCCGACGAUCUGUAGCUGGUCUGAGAGGACGACCAGCCACACUGGGACUGAGACACGGCCCAGACUCCUACGGGAGGCAGCAGUGGGGAAUUUUGGACAAUGGGCGAAAGCCUGAUCCAGCAAUGCCGCGUGCAGGAUGAAGGCCUUCGGGUUGUAAACUGCUUUUGUACGGAACGAAAAAGCUCCUUCUAAUACAGGGGGCCCAUGACGGUACCGUAAGAAUAAGCACCGGCUAACUACGUGCCAGCCGCCGCGGUAA